rnacentral:rRNA from 1 species
GACGAACGCUGGCGGCGUGCUUAACACAUGCAAGUCGAGCGGUAAGGCCCUUUCGGGGGUACGACGAGCGGCAAACGGGUGGGUAACACGUGGGUGACCUGCCCUCAGCUCUGGGAUAAGCCUGGGAAACCGGGUCUAAUACUGGAUAUGACUCCAUGACGCAUGUUGUGGGGUGGAAAGCCUUGUGCGGCUGAGGAUGGGCCCGCGGCCUAUCAGCUUGUUGGUGGGGUGAUGGCCUACCAAGGCGACGACGGGUAGCCGGCCUGAGAGGGCGACCGGCCACACUGGGACUGAGACACGGCCCAGACUCCUACGGGAGGCAGCAGUGGGGAAUCUUGCGCAAUGGGCGAAAGCCUGACGCAGCGACGCCGCGUGAGGGAUGACGGCCUCGG